rnacentral:rRNA from 1 species
UACGGAGGGAGCUAGCGUUGUUCGGAAUUACUGGGCGUAAAGCGCGCGUAGGCGGCUUUGUAAGUUAGAGGUGAAAGCCCGGGGCUCAACCCCGGAACUGCCUUUAAGACUGCAUCGCUUGAAUCCGGGAGAGGUGAGUGGAAUUCCGAGUGUAGAGGUGAAAUUCGUAGAUAUUCGGAAGAACACCAGUGGCGAAGGCGGCAUCCUGGACCGGUAUUGACGCUGAUGCGCGAAAGCCAGGGGAGCAAACGGG